GUGUCAGCCGCCGCGGUAAUACCAGCCCCGCGAGUGGUCGGGACGAUUAUUGGGCCUAAAGCGUCCGUAGCCGGCCCGGCAAGUCCCUCCUUAAAGCCCACGGCUCAACCGUGGGAGCGGGGGGAUACUGUCGGGCUAGGGGGCGGGAGAGGCCGGGGGUACUCCUGGGGUAGGGGCGAAAUCCUAUAAUCCCAGGAGGACCACCAGUGGCGAAGGCGCCCGGCUGGAACGCGCCCGACGGUGAGGGACGAAAGCUGGGGGAGCAAAGGGGAUUAGAUACCCCCGUAGUCCCAGCUGUAAACGAUGCGGGCUAGGUGUGUGGCGGGCUUCGAGCCCGCCCAGUGUCGUAGGGAAGCCGUUAAGCCCGCCGCCUGGG
rnacentral:rRNA from 1 species